GGAAGUAGAGAGGAGACAUUGCUGGAACUGGCAGGAGAGGAGAGAAACCCGCAGAGAUCACAUGACUACAUCAAUGAAGAUGGAGGAGAUCCGGAGUCUCAUGACUGAGAGAAUACUAAACCUCACCCUGGAGAUCAUCUACCUGCUGACCGGAGAGAGAUUUCCUCUUGUGAAGUCAGGUGAUCAUAUGACCAUC